GAGUCAUCACCACCGCCAAUUCCACAGCGAAAAUCGUCGGCUCCAGCUCCGACAGCAGCUGCUCCUCCAGCCACAAAAGAGCCCACGGACCCGAAAAAAGCUGCAAUCUACCGUAUCCUUCACCAUCGACGUGAUCUACACAAGCAGAAUGCGCGCGCGGCGAUUGCUGACAAGGAUAAAGAAUCUGCAAAGGAAUCUGUAGAAAUGGCGAAGGCUUUUGAUCAGGUAGCUGGCGAAAUUCAGAGAUUUUUAUGUAAAAAUUCGAAUCCUCCGUGAUUUUUUCACCCCCGGGAGCUUUUUUCUGGGCUUCUAGCGUUAAUUUUUGAAAUUUUGGGGUACUGUAGCCUCAGAAGUACGCAAUUUGCCGUCCAUACACCUGAUCUUACGACAAAAUGCACAGAAUCUCUAAAUCUUGCAAAAACCGCAUGGAUAAAGGUAAAAAGGAAUCUUAAAAUUAACGCUAGAAGCCCGAGAAAAACGCAUGAUGGGGUAAAAAAUGAUGAGGAAUUUGAAUUUGAUAAGGAUUUCGUUAAAUUUUGAAAAAUUUCCGGAGAAAAAUUAUUUUUUUCGGAAAAAAUUAAAAAUUUCCAAAAUUCCAGGCAAUCGCCGCACUCAAUGAAUGCUCAGCCGAUGAAAUGGAUAUGAAUGACGUACCACCGUCUCCGCCCCCAUAUCGAAAACCGGCUCCGCCCCAACCACAAGCUCCGCCUACUUCUGCUGGUCCAUUGGGAUUCAUUGAAGAACUGCAACAACGGCAACAAAGAUUCCAGAAAAUGGCGGAAAAGGCAAAAACUGAGGGAAAUGAACGGAAAAUGAAGAUGAAUAUGCGACUUGCCGGCCAAUUUGACGAGGCGAUUAAGGAGGCGAAACGGGGAAAACUGGUGAAUGUUGGAGAGUUGCCCAGUCUGCCUGAUAUGGGACCACUUCCACCGCAAACGGCUCCGGGGUACACUUUUCGAAAUUUUUAAUCGAAAAUUCGAAUUCCCUGCGAUUUUUCACCCCCGGGAGCUUUUUUCUGGGCUUGUAGCGUUAAUUUUGAAAAUUUUGGGUACUGUACCCCCAGAAGUACGCAAUUUUACGUCAGGGCAUCGGAUCCUACGAUAAAAUGCACAGAAACUUCAAAUCUUGCGAAAACCGUCUGAAUAGGGGUAAAAGCGUGUGCUGAAACGGAUUUUGAUAUUAAAAAUGAGAAAAAUUGAAUAGUUUUUGAUUUAACCCGUGUUUUUCUGCGAGAAACUUGGAAAUUCUCGGUUUUUAUCAAUUUUCAAUGCGAAAUUCGAACUCAGCAACGUUUUUUACCCCUAUCCAGGUGGUUCCCGCAAGAUUUUGAGAUUCUGUGCAUUUUGUCGUAAGAUCAGGUGUAUGGACGGCAAAUUGCGUACUUUUGGGGCUACAGUACCCCCGCGGAAUCUUAAAAUUAACGAUAGAAGCCCAGAAAAAAAGCUUUAGGGUCUGAAAAAUUACGAGGAUUUCGAAUUUAAUAGAGAAUUUUCACAGAAAUCAAAAUUUUUGCCUGAAUUUAAUCAAUUUUCAGCCAAGCCGCCCCCAAACUUCAUCAACGUCCGCCCCCGCAAGAAGUUGGCCCACUGGCACCCAGUGGUGUGGAGGGAAAGAGUAGAAAUCAGGGACAAUUGGAGUUUUUGUUGGAACGACAGGCCCAGUUCAAGCAAGCUGCUAUUCAU
rnacentral:sRNA from 1 species